AAUGGGCGAAAGCCUGACGGAGCAAUACCGCGUGAGGGAGGAAGGCUCUUGGGUCGUAAACCUCUUUUCUCAGGGAAGAACACAAUGACGGUACCUGAGGAAUAAGCAUCGGCUAACUCCGUGCCAGCAGCCGCGGUAAUACGGAGGAUGCAAGCGUUAUCCGGAAUGAUUGGGCGUAAAGCGUCCGCAGGUGGCGAUGUAAGUCUGCUGUUAAAGAGUCUAGCUCAACUAGAUAAGAGCAGUGGAAACUACAUAGCUAGAGUACGUUCGGGGCAGAGGGAAUUCCUGGUGUAGCGGUGAAAUGCGUAGAGAUCAGGAAGAACACCAGUGGCGAAGGCGCUCUGCUAGGCCGUAACUGACACUGAGGGACGAAAGCUAGGGGAGCGAAUGGGAUUAGAUACCCC
rnacentral:rRNA from 1 species